rnacentral:snRNA from 1 species
AGAUGUGAGGGCGAUCUGGCUGCGACAUCUGUCACCCCACUGAUCGCCAGGGUUGAUUCGGCUGAUCUGGCUGGCUAGGCCGGUGUCCCCUUCCUCCCUCACUGCUCCGUGUGCAUCCCUCCUGAAGCUGUGCGCUCUGUCGAAGAGGACGACCAUCCCCUAUAGAGGAGGACCAGUCUUCGGUCAAGGGUAUACGAGUAGCUGCGCUCCCCUGCUAGAACCUCCAAACAAGCUCUCAAGAAAUUCAUAGGUUUCAGAAAGAAUUCCAUUGUAGCUCUAUAUGGCUUGACCCUUUGUCUGUGUGCCACACCAU